ensembl:lncRNA
UGUUUUUGUUCUCCUUAUCGAUUGAGUCAAAGAAUAAACUAGUGCUGGAGCUGUUGUGAUGCUGUCUGCGUGGCCUGGUGGCCAGUGGGAAUCAUGGCUGUUAAGCAAUAACACACAGUUUUAAUGAUGCUCCAGUCGGAUCAUGAAUUGUGGAUUUGUGAAUGAUAUGAACCUCAACUAGAGGCUCUCGUACCUGAGCCAACAGGUCUUAUCAUGUCGUCUUUUCUUUUUUAAAUUGUGGGUCUCCAUACUGGAUAAAUAUGAAUUGGGAACUCACUGGAGAGGCAGUUUUCCAAGGGUAUUUCAAUAGAAGGGUACUAUGGAAAGGCUGCACAUAGUCAUUAGAAGGUUGAGACUGAGAAGGUUUAUGUAUUUAUUUCACGUGUUCGAAUGAUGGGGGAAUGGAGUCCAGCAGGCAAGAGUUUGCUUUUUUUUCAUGAUGGACUCCUCCCAAGAAGGCUGCUGCUGUACAUAAGCAUUCUUGUUUUCAAAAUGCUCAGUCGAAUCUGCACAUUCAAAUAUGACUGUUUUUUGGAUGGCGUUCAGUCUUUGUUGGGACUAGGAAUGCUUCCUUCUUAUUUCUGGGUCACUCGACAUGUCAUUUAAUGUUCCAGAGGCUGAUCGCCUUUUCAUUUGAACUCUGAACUCCCUGUGCUUCAGAGGGACAGCUGAGAGGUGUGUCAAAUAUAUUCCUUGUUCAUACAUACCUGAUAACAUCCUUAAAGGAUUAGAACCAUUUGCUGAGGAAAUGUUUGGAAUUAUUUUGUAAUUCAACAUUUUUGCCUUGUGAAUUUAUGUAAAUACUCUGAGCUGUAAUAUAUAUGGUUGUAUAAAGACUGUUUGGCAGUUCAAUUGUUUUUUUUUUUUUUUCCUUCCUCUUUUGUUGUCUUCUUUUUACUCUGAAAUAUUUUUUCCUCCCCAAAGCUGUUUUGCUGACUCUUUUGUAGCUUGGCCGCUGUAGCUCCCAAUGAACUGUCAUGAGCCAGGCUGGUUCAACGGUACAUUUCUGUUCACAACCGGCUCUGUUUGCAAAAGUGUUUCAGAGGCAAUAAAGUUUGAGGAAAGUGUACAGAACACUACUGGGGUUACUAGAUUUAUUUUCAUCCUGAUACAGGAAUCAAAAGCAAAACACCAAAAAUGAUACAGGAUAUGUGAGCGAUUUCAAAAUGAAAGAAUUUCUAGGAAUUAAGAGAAUUUGGGGAUUUUGAAUGUGUUAAAUGUCCAUAUCAAUUAAACAUUUUAGUUUAAUUUGAAUUUCCGAAAGUACAGCAAAAUAUAUACAGAAAAAUCUUACUAUGUGGAUAAGAAAAACAAUGCAUUUGCCACAAUUUUAAUAAAAAUGAUAAACAAAA